rnacentral:rRNA from 1 species
AUUGAACGCUGGCGGCAUGCUUUACACAUGCAAGUCGAACGGUAACAGGCCGCAAGGUGCUGACGAGUGGCGAACGGGUGAGUAAUGCAUCGGAACGUGCCCGGUCGUGGGGGAUAACUACUCGAAAGAGUAGCUAAUACCGCAUACGAUCUAUGGAUGAAAGCGGGGGACCGUAAGGCCUCGCGCGAUUGGAGCGGCCGAUGUCAGAUUAGGUAGUUGGUGGGGUAAAGGCUCACCAAGCCAACGAUCUGUAGCUGGUCUGAGAGGACGACCAGCCACACUGGGACUGAGACACGGCCCAGACUCCUACGGGAGGCAGCAGUGGGGAAUUUUGGACAAUGGGCGCAAGCCUGAUCCAGCAAGGCCGCGUGCAGGAAGAAGGCCUUCGGGUUGUAAACUGCUUUUGUACGGAACGAAACGGCUCUGGUUAAUACCCGGGGCUAAUGACGGUACCGUAAGAAUAAGCACCGGCUAACUACGU